UACGUAGGGUGCGAGCGUUGUCCGGAAUUAUUGGGCGUAAAGAGCUCGUAGGCGGUCUGUCGCGUCUGCUGUGAAAUCUCAGGGCUUAACCCUGAGCUUGCAGUGGGUACGGGCAGACUAGAGUGCGGUAGGGGAGACUGGAAUUCCUGGUGUAGCGGUGAAAUGCGCAGAUAUCAGGAGGAACACCGGUGGCGAAGGCGGGUCUCUGGGCCGUAACUGACGCUGAGGAGCGAAAGCAUGGGGAGCGAACAGG
rnacentral:rRNA from 1 species